rnacentral:rRNA from 1 species
UGGUGGAGUGAUUUGUCUGGUUAAUUCCGUUAACGAACGAGACCCCUGCCUGCUAAAUAGCCGCGCGAGUGAUCUUCACUGGCGUUUUGGCUUCUUAGAGGGACGUGCAUUCGACUAGUUGCAGGAAGAUAGGGGCAAUAACA